AAUCCCAAUCUUAGCAUCACGACGACAACACU
rnacentral:sRNA from 1 species